rnacentral:rRNA from 1 species
GGGGUAGAGUAACACGUGGGUAACGUGCCCCGAACUCUGGGAUAACAGCGGGAAACCGCUGCUAAUACCGGAUGACCCAUACGUGUCGCAUGACACGAUUGGCAAAGUUUUUCGGUUUGGGAUCGGCCCGCGGCUUAUCAGCUUGUUGGUGGGGUAACGGCCUACCAAGGCUCUGACGAGUAGCUGGCGUGAGAGCGCGACCAGCCACACUGGGACUGAGACACGGCCCAG